GCCCUUCGUAUUACCGCGGCUGCUGGCACGUAGUUAGCCGAGACUUAUUCCUGAGGUACCGUCCUUCCUCUUCCCUCAGAAAAGUGCUUUACAACCCGAAAGCCUUCAUCACCCACGCGGCGUUGCUGCGUCAGGGUUUCCCCCAUUGCGCAAAAUUCCUCACUGCUGCCUCCCGUAGGAGUCUGGACCGUGUGUCAGUUCCAGUGUGGCUGAUCAUCCUCUCAGACCAGCUAACCAUCGUUGCCUUGGUAGGCCAUUACCCUACCAACAAGCUAAUGGUACGCGGGCUCAUCUCUAAACAGUAGCUUACAUGUAGAGGCCACCUUUGAUCCCAAAAACCUAAGUUCUCGGAAUAUUAUUCGGUAUUAGCCCCGCUUUCGCGGGGUUAUCCCCAAUUCAGAGGUAGAUUGCCCACGCGUUACUCACCCGUGCGCCACUUUACUAUCUUCUGCAAGCAGAAGAGUUCUCGUGCGACUUGCAUGUGUUAAGCACGCCGCCAGCGUUCAUUCUGAGCCAUGAUCAAACUCAAGGGC
rnacentral:rRNA from 1 species